GCCGCAUGAACUGGCCGCCUUGGCUGCCGAGUGGUCGCAGGAGCUCUCCGAUUAUCCCGCUGACACGGCGCCCCUGGCGGCGGCGGCGGCGCCGCCGCCGCCACCGUCGCUGCCAGCGUCACAGCCUGGUCCCCUGCCUUUCCAGGGAGGGGCAUCGUCAAUGCCGCUGCCGCCAACUUCGGUAGCGGCGGCCGCAGCGGCCUCGGGUGUACCGCACCUACUUGUGCCGCCGCCGCCGGCGCAGCGGCUGUCCUUCCCUGGCGCAGCCGCAAUCCGUGAGUCUGUCCCGC
rnacentral:lncRNA from 1 species